AUCGAACGCUGGCGGCAGGCCUAACACAUGCAAGUCGAACGAGUGUCCGACGGGUGAGUAAUGUCUGCGCAACUGCCUCAUGGCGGGGGCUACCUACUGGAAACGGUAGCUAAUACCGCAUACCACCAGUUGUUCCCAGAUGGGAUUAGCUAGUUGGUGGGGUAACGGCUCACAAAGGCGACGAUGCCUAGCUGGUCUGAGAGGAUGACCAGCCAAACUGGAACUGAGACACGGUCCAGACUCCUACGGGAGGCAGCAGUGGGGAAUAUUGCACAAUGGGCGCAAGCCUGAUGCAGCCAUGCCGCGUGUAUGAAGAAGGCCUUCGGGUUGUAAAGUACUUUCAGCGGGGAGGCGUUACCCGCAGAGGAAGCACCGGCUAACUCCGUGCCAGCAGCCGCGGUAAUAC
rnacentral:rRNA from 1 species